GAGAGUUAAACAGUACGUGAAAUUGUUGAAAGGGAAACGAUUGAAGUCAGUCAUACUAACGGGAAAUCAACCUCUUGAGUUUGGUCUCGUGGGUUUCGAAGAGUUUAAAAGCCUUCGGAUUUUCGAGAUUGGGCUCUUCUGGUGUACUUUCUCGUACGGUUAGUCAACAUCGGUUUUGAAUGUCAUAAAAUGACUGAAGGAAUGUGGCUUCGAUCUCGUAUUGAAGUGUUAUAACCUUUGGUAGAUGUGAUGUUUGAGACCGAGGAUUGCAACGGAUACCCUUCUGGGCUAUUCGUCUGAUCUCUGAAACGUUGCCUUGAUGUCGAAAGCUUGCUUAUGAUGUUAGGGUAUUACGGUCAAAAGGUUAGAACGGAUUAAAUUCGUUAAGGAUGUUGACGUAAUGACUUUAAACGA
rnacentral:rRNA from 1 species